rnacentral:rRNA from 1 species
CCUACGGGCGGCAGCAGUGGGGAAUAUUGCACAAUGGGGGAAACCCUGAUGCAGCGACGCCGCGUGAGUGAGGAAGUAUUUCGGUAUGUAAAGCUCCAUCAGCAGGGAAGAAAAUGACGGUACGUGACUACGAAGCCCCGGCUAACUACGUGCCAGCAGCCGCGGUAAUACGUUGGGGGCAAGCGUUAUCCGGAUUUAAUGGGUGUAAAGCGCUCGUAGGCGGUAUGUCAAGUCAAGGGUGAAAUCGCCGCGGUUAACGUGGGAACUGCCUGUGAAACUGGCAAUCUGGAGUGUGUGAGAGGAUAGUGGAAUUCCAGGUGUAGGGGUGAAAUCCGUAGAUAUCUGGAGGAACAUCAGUGGCGAAGGCGACUAUCUGGCACAUAACUGACGCUGAGGAGCGAAAGCGUGGGUAGCAAACAGGAUUAGAUACCCUUGUAGUC